rnacentral:rRNA from 1 species
GACGAACCGUGCGAACGUUAUUCGGAAUCACUGGGCUUAAAGCGCGUGUAGGCGGGACGGCACGUCGGUCGCUGAAAUCCCCCGGCUCAACCGGGGAACGGGCGCCGAUACGACCGUCCUGGAGGGACGUAGGGGGACCUGGAACUUCCGGUGGAGCGGUGAAAUGCGUUGAGAUCGGAAGGAACGCCCGUGGCGAAAGCGGGUCUCUGGACAGUUCCUGACACUGAGGCACGAAGGCCAGGGGAGCAAACGGG